UUCGCAAUGCCCGAAAGGGUGACGAAGCGACGCCGCGUGUGGGAAGAAGGCCUUCGGGUUGUAAACCACUGUCGGGAGUUAAGAAAUGCAAGGAUAUGAAUAGUGUCUUUGCUUGACUAAGGCUCCGGAGGAAGCCACGGCUAACUCUGUGCCAGCAGCCGCGGUAAUACAGAGGCGGCAAGCGUUGUUCGGAAUUAUUGGGCGUAAAGAGCACGUAGGCGGCUAUGUAAGUCGGUUGUGAAAGCCUUCCGCUCAACGGGAGAACAGCAUCCGAUACUACAUGGCUUGAGUGCGGGAGGGGAGAGUGGAACUUCUGGUGGGGCGGUGAAAUGCGUAGAUAUCAGAAGGAACGCCGGCGGCGAAAGCGGCUCUCUGGCCCAUAACUGACGCUGAGUGUGCGAAAGCUAGGGGAGCAAACGGGAUUAGAUACCCCGGUAGUCCUAGCCGUAAACGAUGGGCACUAAGUAGAGGGGUUUU
rnacentral:rRNA from 1 species